UGGAACGCCCACCGAAUUUGUCCAUCGACGAAAGAAAGCCUGGCCACGUUCUCGUCUUGCCAUCUCCGUGUUGCGUUUGGGCAGCAUUCUUCAGUGGCAACUCGGCUUCGCAUUAAGUUUGCUUCGGCUCACAGUUAACGAGAGCAUCAGCAUGAUGAGUGAUGGUGGUUGCGUCAUUGAUGACUCACUCCCCUCCUAGGAUGGUUGCCCAACUUACGAAGGGGGCAGGUAGCCGUACGCCAUCGAAAGACUUGUCAAAGGAAGGAAUCAACGGAAACGUCGAGAAAGCGGCAAGGGACCAUGAGAUACGGGAGGAAAAGCUACCGAGAAUAGAGAGCGAGGCAGCAGAGAAAAGAAAGAAGGAGGGACCUUUCGUGCGGUGCUGGAGAGAAAUCUCAGUUGCGAGAACUGGCAGGGUGAACCACGGCAGACAUUCAUUUGGCAAGGGAGAAAUGCGCCUGCGGGGUGCCGAGACAGUUAGCUGGGGAUAUUGGCACGCCCUGCCGGAGACGUGACAACGCAAAGACAGGCGUCCGCCCGGCGCCGUGGGCCGGAGAUGCUGGGCAUAAAAUGGAACCUCGCCGGCCACUUCCUUCUCCAGAGAAGAACCAAAGAAAAACCUCGGUGUGACUUCUUGGCGGGAACAGACCACGCUGCCCCCGACCGAAAGAAAAGGAAAGGGAGAGGGAAACCGGCGGCCCAAAUUCCCGCUUUCCCCAACCAAUGCUCUCCACCAUUCGAUCUUUCUCGCAUCGCUGGUCGGCCACGCGGCGCCGGGGUCGACUCGGAAGCGCAGCGAUCGCCGAGACUACUGCUACCUGCUGGCUUUUCUCUCGGAGUGGCAGCAAGUGCAGACGGCCAGUACCUGCUGCCCAAGUAAUGUACAACAUACUCAAAGAAAGUGUCUAACGUGACGUAACACAAACGCCUCAGUACUGCACCAAACGAGAGCGAAGGUAAUCGAAAGGCCCGACUUUUUUGCUAAUCACAACCAUAUGAAGCCAACACGCAAUGAGGUUAAUGAAAGGAU